rnacentral:misc_RNA from 1 species
UUUCCGUAGGUGAACCUGCGGAAGGAUCAUUAAAAAAUUGGACUCCAUUGGUGAGUUCAUUAAUAAUCCCUACCCUUUGUGAAUUUGUUUGUUUGAAUAAUUUUUUUCCAAAAAAAAUUAUUGAAUGUCUUUCCUUGUUUUGGUGGAGCUUGUAAAGUGAAACCAGGCAGGGGAAUGGCAAACAAUAAUUAUUUUUGAAAAAGACCUUUUUUUAAAAUUAAACUUUUUGUAUUCAUUUGUCUAAAAUUAAUUUUUAUAAUAUAAAAACAACUUUUGACAAUGGAUCUCUUGGUUCUCGCAACGAUGAAGAACGCAGCAAAAUGCGAUAAGUAGUGUGAAUUGCAGAAUACGUGAAUCAUCGAAUCUUCGAACGCAUAUUGCACUUUUUUAGUUUACUAAAAAAGUAUGUCUGUUUGAGUAUCAGUAAAAUAUUCUCAUAAAAAACAUUGUUUUUUUUAUGGUUAUGAGUGUUUUACAACGAUAACAAGUUGUUUCACUUUAAAUUCUUUGUUAUCAAAAAAAUCAUUAAAAGCUAAUUUUAAAGAUUUUUUAAAAUUGGAUAAAAUUUUCCCGUAAAAAGGAAUAACCUAAACAAUUUUAAAAAAUUAAAAUUGGUUUGAUUUUUUUUGAAACCCAAAGGAAAAAAAAACGAAAUUAACUUGAUCUCAAAUCAGAUAAGAGUACCCGCUGAACUUAAGCAUAUCAAUAAGCGGAGGAAAAGAAACUAACUAGGAUUCCCUCAGUAACGGCGAGUGAAGCGGGAAGAGCUCAAAUUUGAAAUCUUCAAGGUUUUACCUUGACGAAUUGUAGUUUAAAGAAGUGUUUUCUGUCGGAGUUUUGGUAAAAGUUCUUUGGAAAAGGACAUCAUAGAGGGUGAGAAUCCCGUAUUUGACCAUUAUCUCCAGCUUUGUGAUACACUUUCAAAGAGUCGGAUUGUUUGGGAAUGCAGUCCAAAAUGGGUGGUAAAUUUCAUCUAAAGCUAAAUACUGGCGAGAGACCGAUAGCGAACAAGUACCGUGAGGGAAAGAUGAAAAGAACUUUGAAAAGAGAGUUAAACAGUACGUGAAAUUGUCAAAAGGGAAGCGUUUGACACCAGUGUUGUUUUCUCGAAAAUCAAUUAAAAAAGGCCGGAUUUUGUGUUGUAUUGACUUUAUCAGCUUUCUGCACUCUUUUCUUGUCUUUUUUGAUGCACUUUUCGUUUAACAAGUCAACAUCAAUUCCUUUUGUUGUAAAAGGGUCAUUGGAGGGUGGCUUUCUUUUCGGAGAAAGUGUUUAUAGCCUUUGGCCUCUGCAAUCGGAGAGAUUGAGGUCUGCAGCGUAGAUCCUUCGGGGUUAGAUACAUUUGUGCUAAGUUAUAGCCUUUCAUAGACAACUUGUUGACUAUGAUCAGUCAUGUAGCUUACUCGCUUAUGCUAUUU